rnacentral:rRNA from 1 species
GACGAACGCUGGCGGCGUGCUUAACACAUGCAAGUCGAACGAUGAUGCCCAGCUUGCUGGGUGGAUUAGUGGCGAACGGGUGAGUAACACGUGAGUAACCUGCCCUUCACUCUGGGAUAACUCCGGGAAACCGGGGCUAAUACUGGAUAUGACUCCUCCUCGCAUGGGGUGGGAGUGGAAAGCUUUUGUGGUGGAGGAUGGACUCGCGGCCUAUCAGCUUGUUGGUGAGGUAGUGGCUCACCAAGGCGACGACGGGUAGCCGGCCUGAGAGGGCGACCGGCCACACUGGGACUGAGACACGGCCCAGACUCCUACGGGAGGCAGCAGUGGGGAAUAUUGCACAAUGGGCGAAAGCCUGAUGCAGCGACGCCGCGUGAGGGAUGAAGGCCUUCGGGUUGUAAACCUCUUUCAGCUCUGAAGAAGCGAAA